rnacentral:rRNA from 1 species
CCUACGGGUGGCAGCAGUGAGGAAUAUUGGUCAAUGGGCGCGAGCCUGAACCAGCCAAGUAGCGUGAAGGAUUACUGCCCUACGGGUUGUAAACUUCUUUUAUAAAGGAAUAAAGUGAGGCACGUGUGCCUCUUUGUAUGUACUUUAUGAAUAAGGAUCGGCUAACUCCGUGCCAGCAGCCGCGGUAAUACGGAGGAUCCGAGCGUUAUCCGGAUUUAUUGGGUUUAAAGUGGGCGUAGCUGGGUUGUUAAGUCAGUUGUGAAAGUUUGCGGCUCAACCGUAAAAUUGCAAUUGAUACUGGCAGUCUUGAGUACAGUUGAGGGAGGCGGAAUUCGUGGUGUAGCAGUGAAAUGCUUAGAUAUCACGAAGAACUCCGAUUGCGAAGGCAGCUUACUAAACUGCAACUGACAUUGAUGCUCGAAGGUGUGGGUAUCAAACAGGAUUAGAUACCCUAGUAGUC